CCCAUCGGCAAAGAUGAACUCAUCUCCUUCAUCAUCGCCGGUCUCGACAUGAAAUACCAGCCCAUCAUCUCUGCUCUCGAUGUGCGAACUGAUCCUGUCUCCACCGAUGAGCUCUUUGGCAUGAUCUCCAACUUCGAUC
rfam:Triticum aestivum genome assembly, contig: Triticum_aestivum_CS42_TGACv1_scaffold_177733_2DS